CGCGGCCUAUCAGCUUGUUGGUGAGGUAACGGCUCACCAAGGCAUCGACGGGUAGCUGGUCUGAGAGGACGAUCAGCCACACUGGGACUGAGACACGGCCCAGACCCCUACGGGAGGCAGCAGUAGGGAAUCUUGCGCAAUGGGCGAAAGCCUGACGCAGCAACGCCGCGUGGGGGAUGAAUGCCUUCGGGUUGUAAACCCCUUUCAGCAGGGACGAAAAUGACGGUACCUGCAGAAGAAGCUCCGGCCAACUACGUGCCAGCAGCCGCGGUAAUACGUAGGGAGCGAGCGUUGUCCGGAAUUAUUGGGCGUAAAGAGCUCGUAGGCGGUUCAGUAAGUCGGGUGUGAAAACUCAAGGCUCAACCUUGAGACGCCACUCGAUACUGCUGUGACUUGAGUCCGGUAGAGGAGUGUGGAAUUCCUGGUGUAGCGGUGAAAUGCGCAGAUAUCAGGAGGAACACCAGCGGCGAAGGCGGCACUCUGGGCCGGUACUGACGCUGAGGAGCGAAAGCAUGGGGAGCAAACAGGAUUAGAUACCCUGGUAGUCCAUGCCGUAAACGUUGGGCACUAGGUAUGGGAUCAUAUCAACGGAUUCCGUGCCGUAGCUAACGCAUUAAGUGCCCCGCCUGGGGAGUACGG
rnacentral:rRNA from 1 species